rnacentral:rRNA from 1 species
UACGUAGGGGGCAAGCGUUGUCCGGAUUUAUUGGGCGUAAAGAGCGUGUAGGCGGCUGGGUAGGUCCGUUGUGAAAACUCGAGGCUCAACCUCGAGACGCCGAUGGAAACCCUCCAGCUAGAGUCCGGAAGAGGAGAGUGGAAUUCCUGGUGUAGCGGUGAAAUGCGCAGAUAUCAGGAAGAACACCCGUGGCGAAGGCGGCUUUCUGGGACGGUACUGACGCUGAGACGCGAAAGCGUGGGGAGCGAACAGG